rnacentral:rRNA from 1 species
AACGAACGCUGGCGGCAUGCCUAACACAUGCAAGUCGAACGAGACCUUCGGGUCUAGUGGCGCACGGGUGCGUAACGCGUGGGAACCUGCCCUUAGGUUCGGAAUAACUCCCCGAAAGGGGUGCUAAUACCGGAUAAUGUCUUCGGACCAAAGAUUUAUCGCCUUUGGAUGGGCCCGCGUUGGAUUAGCUAGUUGGUAGGGUAAAAGCCUACCAAGGCGACGAUCCAUAGCUGGUCUGAGAGGAUGAUCAGCCACACUGGGACUGAGACACGGCCCAGACUCCUACGGGAGGCAGCAGUGGGGAAUAUUGGACAAUGGGCGAAAGCCUGAUCCAGCAAUGCCGUGUGAGUGAUGAAGGUCUUAGGGUUGUAAAGCUCUUUUACCCGGGAUGAUAAUGACAGUACCGGGAGAAUAAGCGCCGGCUAACUCCGUG